GCCGGGGUGGUGGAACGGGAUACACGCGGCACUCAAAAUGCCGUACCCGCAAGGGUUUGCGAGUUCAAAUCUCGCCCCCGGCA
rfam:Candidatus Rokubacteria bacterium RIFCSPHIGHO2_02_FTLL_69_13 rifcsphigho2_02_scaffold_56150, whole genome shotgun sequence.